rnacentral:rRNA from 1 species
AUUGAACGCUGGCGGAAUGCUUUACACAUGCAAGUCGAACGGCAGCACGGGGCAACCUGGUGGCGAGUGGCGAACGGGUGAGUAAUACAUCGGAACGUGCCCAAUCGUGGGGGGAUAACGUAGCGAAAGUUACGCUAAUACCGCAUACGAUCUACGGAUGAAAGCGGGGGAUCGCAAGACCUCGCGCGAGUGGAGCGGCCGAUGUCAGAUUAGGUAGUUGGUGGGGUAAAGGCUCACCAAGCCAACGAUCUGUAGCUGGUCUGAGAGGACGACCAGCCACACUGGAACUGAGACACGGUCCAGACUCCUACGGGAGGCAGCAGUGGGGAAUUUUGGACAAUGGGCGCAAGCCUGAUCCAGCCAUUCCGCGUGCAGGAUGAAGGCC